GGGCCCUUGGUAUAUCGGUAGCACAUCUCGUUUGCAACGAGAAGAGGCGGGUUCGAUUCCCGCAGGGUCCACAA
rnacentral:tRNA from 2 species